rnacentral:rRNA from 1 species
UACGUGGGGGGCAAGCGUUGUUCGGAAUUAUUGGGCGUAAAGGGCGCGUAGGCGGCUCGUUAUGUCACCAGUGAAAUCUCCGGGCUCAACUCGGAGCCUGCUGGCGAAACUGCCGUGCUGGAGUAUGGGAGGGGUGCGUGGAAUUCCCGGUGUAGAGGUGAAAUGCGUAGAUAUCGGGAGGAACACCGGUGGCGAAAGCGGCGCACUGGACCAUAACUGACGCUGAGGCGCGAAAGCUAGGGGAGCAAACAGG